rnacentral:rRNA from 1 species
UACAGAGGUCCCAAGCGUUACUGAGAAUCACUGGGUUUAAAGGGUGCGUAGGUGGUCCGUUAAGUCAGUUGUGAAAUCCCCGGGCUCAACCCGGGAACUGCUUCUGAUACUGGCGGACUUGAGGCCAGUAGGGGUCACUAGAACUGACGGUGGAGCGGUGAAUGCGUAGAUAUCGUCAGGAAUGCCGGUGGUGAAGACGGGUGACUGGGCUGGUUCUGACACUGAGGCACGAAAGCGUGGGGAA